UGGGGGGCUGCCUUACACAUGCAGUCGAACGGCAGCGGGGGUAGCUUGCUACCUGCCGGCGAGUGGCGAACGGGUGAGUAAUACAUCGGAACGUGCCCUGUAGUGGGGGAUAACUAGUCGAAAGACUAGCUAAUACCGCAUACGACCUGAGGGUGAAAGUGGGGGACCGCAAGGCCUCAUGCUAUAGGAGCGGCCGAUGUCUGAUUAGCUAGUUGGUGGGGUAAAGGCCCACCAAGGCGACGAUCAGUAGCUGGUCUGAGAGGACGAUCAGCCACACUGGGACUGAGACACGGCCCAGGCUCCUACGGGAGGCAGCAGUGGGGAAUUUUGGACAAUGGGGGCAACCCUGAUCCAGCAAUGCCGCGUGUGUGAAGAAGGCCUUCGGGUUGUAAAGCACUUUUGUCCGGAAAGAAAUCGCACUGGUUAAUACCUGGUGUGGAUGACGGUACCGGAAGAAUAAGGACCGGCUAACUACGUGCCAGCAGCCGCGGUAAUACGUAGGGUCCAAGCGUUAAUCGGAAUUACUGGGCGUAAAGCGUGCGCAGGCGGUUGUGCAAGACCGAUGUGAAAUCCCCGGGCUUAACCUGGGAAUUGCAUUGGUGACUGCACGGCUAGAGUGUGUCAGAGGGAGGUAGAAUUCCACGUGUAGCAGUGAAAUGCGUAGAGAUGUGGAGGAAUACCGAUGGCGAAGGCAGCCUCCUGGGAUAACACUGACGCUCAUGCACGAAAGCGUGGGGAGCAAACAGGAUUAGAUACCCUGGUAGUCCACGCCCUAAACGAUGUCAACUAGUUGUUGGGGAUUCAUUUCCUUAGUAACGUAGCUAACGCGUGAAGUUGACCGCCUGGGGAGUACGGUCGCAAGAUUAAAACUCAAAGGAAUUGACGGGGACCCGCACAAGCGGUGGAUGAUGUGGAUUAAUUCGAUGCAACGCGAAAAACCUUACCUACCCUUGACAUGCCACUAACGAAGCAGAGAUGCAUUAGGUGCUCGAAAGAGAAAGUGGACACAGGUGCUGCAUGGCUGUCGUCAGCUCGUGUCGUGAGAUGUUGGGUUAAGUCCCGCAACGAGCGCAACCCUUGUCUCUAGUUGCUACGAAAGGGCACUCUAGAGAGACUGCCGGUGACAAACCGGAGGAAGGUGGGGAUGACGUCAAGUCCUCAUGGCCCUUAUGGGUAGGGCUUCACACGUCAUACAAUGGUGCAUACAGAGGGUUGCCAAGCCGCGAGGUGGAGCUAAUCCCAGAAAAUGCAUCGUAGUCCGGAUCGUAGUCUGCAACUCGACUACGUGAAGCUGGAAUCGCUAGUAAUCGCGGAUCAGCAUGCCGCGGUGAAUACGUUCCCGGGUCUUGUACACACCGCCCGUCACACCAUGGGAGUGGGCUUUACCAGAAGUAGUUAGCCUAACCGUAAGGAGGGCGAUACCAUCGGG
rnacentral:rRNA from 2 species